GACAGAGGCCUCAAGCGUUAGGCGGAAUCACUGGGCUUAAAGCGUGUGUAGGCGGAUCGUUAAGUACCUUGUGAAAUCCCACGGCUCACCCGUGGAACUGCUGGGUAUACUGGCGGUCUUGGGCCAACUAGGGGCAGCUGGAACAAGCGGUAGAGCGGUGAAAUGCGUAGAUAUCGCUUGGAACGCCGAAGGUGAAAACAGGCUGCUGGGGUUGUGCCGACGCUGAGACACGAAAGCCAGGGGAGCAAACGGG
rnacentral:rRNA from 1 species